GCCGCCCAGCGACAAGGCCGCGGGGUCAGCGUGUCUGUACCGGUGCUGCAACGGGAGGGUCGGGCGGCGACGCUCUCACUGCCGGGCCAGAAGGAGGCCUCCCGGCUCCCUCACGCUAGAAGGGAGCUGGUUACCAGAGGUUUUCAGAGACGCCAAAGUUUUGCCAGGUCAGCCCGGUGCCUGCGUGGCCCACUGCGGGACCUUUGCGCCCAGCCACCGCGCCACCCUACCCCUGUCCCGCCCCUGCCCCAGCCCGGCUGGCCAGGAAGGGACCUACUGGGAGAUACCUGCUCGGAACCCCAGGCUAAGGACGUACCUCCCUUGCUUGAAAGUGGGGGAAGGGGGUGCCUCUCUCCAUUACCGUGGUUAGGAAAGCAGGGUACUCAGGAUCCCGCCUCUCCCGUGCUCCCCACUUUCCCUGCCUUAAUCUUAUCAGCAGCUCCCUGAACUCCCCACUCUGGCCCCUUAUCUUGAGCUGCUUUACCUCUCUUCUCUGUCGUCAACCCCACUCUAAUGGCCUUCCCUGGUCGGGCUACCGGCUGCAUGUCUGACCCGUUCGGAGACUGUGAGCUCCCGAGGGCAGGAACCAGGUCUGCCUUCUUCCUGCUGCUGUCCUAGAGGUCCUGGGAGGUGCUCAAUCCUUGAAGGUGUGAAUGGAUGAAUGAAUGAGCACCCCGCCUCUCUCUCAUUUCUGGUCUAGGAAUCAGGAGUGUAGGUUCCUGUCUGGCUUCAGCACUGACUCUGGGAGACCUUGACCCAGUUCCAUUCCCUGGCAGGGUCUUCUUUCCUGUGAAAUGGAGCCAAUCGCUCCGCUGGCUGGACAAGUGCAGAGGAGGCCUCUUCCUGUAGCCAAGGAACUUGCCCCGGGCCUUCGGGGCCUUGGGCCCUCUUGGGCUCCAUAUCAGCUGACUGGGCCUGGCUGCCAGGAAGGGUGCUGGCUGCAGCCCCACCAGGAGCAGUAGCAGAGUGGACACACAGCCCAUAGUGGCUGAGCCGCCUCUGCAGUCCUGCUGGGGCCUUUGCUUGGGAGACACAAAGGCCCCUUGUCUAGCCUCCUGCGCCUAUUGUCUAAGCUGGGCCACGCACCUUCCAGGGACCUAAGUAUCCUCAUAGCCCGAGUUAUAGGGCCUAGGCCUUCAGGUUCCAGUGUGGGGAAGACCCUUUGGGCACUGGAACUCCAGCCAACCCUCUCUUUCUCUCCCCUCUUCCAAAACUUCAAACCUUAUACUGUCACUGCCAUUUAGCCCAGGAGAAACAAGUUUCUUUGACGCCAAGUUGAGGACCCAGGCUCGACCUUAGCCUUCAGCGGGCAAAUCUGGUUGGUGGCCUGCCCAGGGCUCUGCCCCUGCUCUGGCCCAAUUCCCUUACUUUACAGCUGAGGAAACUGCAUUCCUGAGACAUACAGCGUUUCAGCUACCACACAGGUGACUUAGUGAGGCUUGAGGAGCAGAGGAAGGGGCCUAGUCCUUGAACCCCAUAGCCUUGGGUUUAGAUUCCAGUCUUACCUCACCUGUCCUAUGACUCCUCUCUGAGCCUGAGUUUCCUCUUUUGCAAAAGGGAGUAAUACUAAUCUCUCACUUGCUGGCCUGUCUUAAAUUUUUUGAGAAAGGGCCUCACUCUGUCACCCAGGCCGUAGUGCAGUGGCAUGAUCACAGCACACUACAGUCUCUAUGUCCCAGGGCCAAGGGAUCCUCCCAUCUCAGCCUCCCAAGUAGCUGGGAAUACAGGCACAUGCCACCAUGCCGGGCUAAUUUGUAAAUUUUUUGUAGAGAUGGGAUCUCCCUGUGUUGACCAGGCUGGUCUCAAACUGCUGAGUCCAAGCAGUCCUCCUGCCUCGGCCUCCCAAAGUGCUGGGAUUCCAGGCAUGAGCCCCUGCACCCUAUCCUUAAAUUCUUUUUUCAUGGUUUUAUUCAUCAUCCCAAGCUGUCUGGGCUCAAGGCGUUAGUAUCCCAUGCAAUGAGGGCCUAGAAGUUUCGUCUCCUGACAUCCUCCCCAGGCAGUCCCAUCGCUGGGUUUCAGAGGCCAUCAAGCCCAGCAGGCUUCAAAUCCCCCAACAGAGUCCCCCUUACCUGGGGCUGCCUGGGGAACUCCCAUCCCACUUCAACUUGAGCACCUUUGCCUUUGUAUUUUUAUUUAUUUACAUUUCCUGGUAAGAAUUUGUUGCAAGCACAUGAAAGAUUUUGUGGCUGAAGUAAUGUAAAACCAUUGAUCAAACCGGAAAUUGAGACACAGCCAGCGUCACACAACAGGCCAUCUGAAAGGCUGGAAUAGCAUCGAGGGAGUCUCCCUGGAACCAAGCAGCCAAGGCAGGCUAAUGGUGAAGGCCCAGGCACAGUAAUGGUCCCCUGGAGAUGGAGUCCUGCUCUGUCAUCCAUGCUGGAGUGCAGUGGCGUGAUCUCAGCUCACUGCAACCUCCGCCUCCUGGGUUCAAGUGAUUCUCCUGCCUCAGCCUCCCAAGUAGCUGGGAUUACAAGUGUGCACCAUCACACCCUGCUGAUUUUUGUAUUUUUAGUAGAGACAGGGUUUCACCAUGUUGGCCAGGCUGUUCUUGAACUCCUGGCCUAAAGCGAUCCACCCGCCUUGGCCUCCCAAAGUCCUGGGAUUACAGGCGUGAGCCACCGUACCUGACCCCUGUCCCUGAACAUUUGUCACAAUAUAUUAUGAGUGAAUGAGUAAGAACUCUA